rnacentral:rRNA from 1 species
UACAGAGGUCCCAAGCGUUGUUCGGAUUCACUGGGCGUAAAGGGUGCGUAGGCGGUCGGGUAAGUCUGAUGUGAAAUCUCACAGCUUAACUGUGAAACUGCAUUGGAUACUAUCCGGCUCGAGGAAUGGAGGGGAGACUGGAAUACUUGGUGUAGCAGUGAAAUGCUUAGAUAUGACAUAGAACACCAAUUGCGAAGGCAGCUCGCUACACGGUUAUUGACACUGAGGCACGAAAGCGUGGGGAUCAAACAGG